GGGCGAAAGUCUGACGGAGCAAUACCGCGUGAGGGAAGACGGCCUAUGGGUUGUAAACCUCUUUUUUCAGGGAGGAAUUUUGACGUGUACCUGAAGAAUAAGCAUCGGCUAACUCCGUGCCAGCAGCCGCGGUAAGACGGAGGAUGCAAGUGUUAUCCGGAAUCACUGGGCGUAAAGCGUCUGUAGGUGGUUAAGCAAGUCAACUGUUAAAUCUUGAGGCUCAACUUCAAAAUCGCAGUCGAAACUGUUUGACUAGAGUAUAGUAGGGGUAAAGGGAAUUUCCAGUGGAGCGGUGAAAUGCGUAGAUAUUGGAAAGAACACCGAUGGCGAAGGCACUUUACUGGGCUAUUACUGACACUCAGAGACGAAAGCUAGGGUAGCAAAUGGGAUUAGAUACCCCAGUAGUCCUAGCCGUAAACAAUGGAUACUAGAUGUUGAACAGAUCGACCCGUGCAGUAUCAAAGCUAACGCGUUAAGUAUCCCGCCUGGGAAGUAUGCUCGCAAGAGUGAAACUCAAAG
rnacentral:rRNA from 1 species